GCCAGCAGAUGCAUUCAGACAAGGGGACAGCACCCCUGAGAUGACAGGCGCCUGCUUCCUGGCACAAGCUGUGCUGGAACCCACAGCCAGCCUUAUAAUGGGCUCUGUGUGCUCAGCAGUGACCCAAUGGGAGUCAUUGUCAACCUGUCAUCUUGAGGACGGCCCAGUGUGUGGCAGGCAAAAUGGAUCACCAUUAGAGUAAUGGAAAUCAAGCAGAAAGCAUAAUUUUACCCCCGCACCGUGAGCUGGCCCAUCUUCCCUCAACAGCCCUGCUCAUCACGACCGCGGACACCCAGCCCAAGGCUGACAAAGCAAAAAGAGCAGGGGCCCGGGCAAACCUGGGCCAUGGCACCCCCAGGAGGGGCUGCUGCUUGCCCUGGCGCCCGGCCUGCCCUCGUGGGUUUCACAGUGUAGCGGGGCCGUACGCACAGCAGUUAUACUCACAACCACCUCGUUAUCAUGAGAACCAGGAGGUCCGCGGGCUCAGGGAGCCUGACCCCACAGCAGUCAACAGAUGCCUAAUGAAUGAAUUAAUGACUACAAACAAAUGAACGGAUGUACACCUCCGGUGCUGGCAGGGAGCUGAUGGUGGCAAGAGGAGCUCAGGGAAAGGACAAGCUUGGAAGAGAAGAUGACAAAGGGACACAAGGACCCCGCCUACCAAUCCCACCAUGACCUCACUACUUCUCGGAACACCCUGCUGGCCGGUGGUGUCCAGCUGUGAUGGAGCUGGUGACAUGGUCUCUAGUUCUGGGUGGUGCUGGUGCCCCACAGAAAGUGGGGUUCUGUGGCUGCAGGGUGGAGGAGCAGGUUCCGCUCGGUCGGGUCCAAAACAAUUAUUUCCAUGAUUGCAUGUAUUUGUAACAUCUGAAGUGAGCCAAGAGCACAAUCAGUCCAGAACUUUCACUGUGCUGCAGUUGCCCUCACAUGAAGUGGUGGAGAGGCUGCCGGCACUUCUGGGUUCUCUCAGGCCAAGCCAGAUUGGGGAUGCAUUUCUUUGGGGUUCGGCAGGGU
rnacentral:lncRNA from 12 species